rnacentral:lncRNA from 1 species
CUUUCUUCAGUUUGUGUCUUUGGCUUGUGUAGCUGACAGUUAUUAAAUUUCAGUUUCAGAUUCCACAGAAUAUGAUGCGAUGCUAAAAUCAGUGUGUGGUGGUCAUUAUAUAUCCUGGAAUGGAACUCUGAGCUCUCCUUAUUACCCGAGUUACUACCCUCCAAAUAUUGACUGCAGCUGGAUCAUCCGAGCACCAUUGCCAGCCUACAAGCUCUCCUUAAAAAUCCUUGUAAUACAAAUUCAAGAGAAAUCGCCAGGGUCCAGUAAAUGUGAUAAAGAUUGGCUAGAAAUCGAAGGAGUUAGGUGAGUAAAUACACUAUUUACUGACAUACUAAUGUGUACUUUGAUGUUCUAUGCAACAUGAGACACCUUAAGGAAAAACAUCAGUGUAGAAAGAUACAUUUCAAAAAAUAAAGGCAUACUUUCAUUGAAUUACA